GUCUACGGCCAUACCACCCUGAACGCGCCCGAUCUCAUCUGACCUCAGAAGCUAAGCAGGGUCGGGCCUGGUUAGGACUUGGAUGGGAGACCAGAAAGAGCUAUGUGGCGCUUACC
rnacentral:rRNA from 1 species